GCCAGGCGCGGUGGCGCACCCAUGUAGUCCUAGCUACUCCGGAGGCUGAGACAGGAGGAUCACUUGAGUCCAGGAGUUCUGGGCUGUAGUGCACUAUGCCGAUCGGGUGUCCGCACCAAGUUCGGCAUCAAUAUGGUGACCUCCUGGGAGCGGGGAGCCACCAGGUUGCCUAAGGAGGAGGAGU
rnacentral:SRP_RNA from 1 species